CAAAGAAAAAAAAAGAAACAUGGAGUGGUUAUCUUUAAACCCAAAUUAGUUUUGGCCCCCCAUUACGACACGUUACAAUUGUCACUAAUCAUAGCCUAGUCACAUAACAAUGACAGCAAAGAGUUGAACAGCUGAUACGUUACAUACGACAGACAGCACGUAGUGCACUAAUUGCAGUUGUAAUUACUCGCACUUUGCGAUAAGAUUUUAUUUAAUCAAUGACCAAUAAAUUGUUGAAAUAAUUUAUGUAGGUGGUUGGUAUUGCUUAUAAAGUUUCACACCUAUUUGAAAUUUAAAAUAAUAACAUCUUAAAAAUCAGAUUUGAAAUCAAUCGCGGAACAAAAAUGAUUUCGUCCAACUUUCUUCAAGGAAUAUUCGGCAUGGAUGGAGAUUUCAAUGGGGAAGAAGAUGACGGCGAUGAUGAUGGAACAGCUGUCGUUGGUUUAUUCUGUAUUAAAUGACAGAGACGUCGAACACCAAUCU